AUGGGGUGUUUAGAAGGUCGACGCCGACCCAGAUCUAAUAUGAAGGCGGCAAAGAAAUUGGGCGACGGUAGUGCAGCACUCCCACAGGGCUUUCAGGGGGAGAGCAGACGAAGUCGGACGAUGGCGGGCGCAUCGCUCCCAACGGAUCCAACGCAGGAGCAGCGUCAUGGCGUGGAUCUAGAGCAAAACGCGAUGGCGACGAAGCUUAUCUGCCAUGGCGGCUCGACUGGGUUCCUACGCUGGAAGGGGAGAGUGAGACGAGGGAGGAGAUAG
rnacentral:rRNA from 1 species